CUGUUAUAAGGUGAGAAGACAGAGAAGCCACAUUUUGAAGGAUCAAAUCUUGGAGUCUUUAUUUUAGAAUGCUAGCAGUCCGCAGGCAGCCAAUUGUUACAAAGGCCUACAGCCUGCAAAUACACUUAGCACUGUUAAGAAAUAGGCCAAAGUUGAAAGAAAGAACAAAAG